CCAUGUGACGCACUUUUUUUAAUUGCGCCGGCGUUUAUGCGCGUGGGUGCUUACCAAAAGAAGACUCCAUAUUGCUUCGUCAGGUGUAACGUAACACGGUAUUAUUUAACACGUACACAGUCCUAAAUUAAGCCCAUUGAUAAAUAUCACGACAGGACAGGCUAAGACGUCUUCACACGGUGUGGAGGUCCCAAAGGAUUCAAACACAGAGAGGAGCAGAAUUGAAGACAGCACAACAACCAAUACUUCCACUGGCCUGUCGCUUCUCAAACCUGAGUCGUGUGAGUCCGGACGUGGCACCUCGAGCCUGAGGGAAAGCGUCCAGACUCCAAAAGGGGACAGGUAGGCGGGGGUUCGCCUCCCUGACGCGAACAUGUUCACAUGGAACCCUUCUCCACUUUGGCCCGACGCAAACCCCAAGCUUCGAGGCCGAGUCGACAAAUGCUUCAGCAUAUUUGAGCCACCGGCUGCGUUUUCAGAACCCAGCACAGAGCAGGACUGCCGGACAGCAGGAGUCAUGUGACCAAGUCUCUGCUAAGCUGGCUAUUGCCUCAAUGCUAGCUUGGUGUGGCACAAAGACAAGAAGCAGGGGGAAACAACUAGCAUGGCUCUGUCCAAGACUAAAAGGAAUCUGAGUUCAACUUUUUAGCUUGCUCACAAUAAAGCAAUAACUUGCUCAAGUA